GAUGAACGCUAGCGGCAGGCUUACUACAUGGAAGUCGAGGGACAGCACAGGUAGCAAUACUGGUUGGUAAGCGGCAAACGUGUGCGGAACACGUACACAACCUUCCUUUAAGUGGGGGAUAGCUCAGAGAAAUUUGGAUUAAUACCCCGUAAUGUAGUUGAAUGGCAUCAUUUGAUCAUUAUAGCUACGGCUCCUAAUGAAGGCUCUGCGGCCAAUUAGAUAGUUGGCGGGGUAACGGCCCACCACGUCUACAUUCGGUACCUGAUGUGAGGGCAUGAUCAGCAACAGGGGCACUGAGACACGGGCCCGACUCCAACGGGAGGCAGCAGUAAGGAAUAUUGGUCAAUGGACGCAAGUCUGAACCAGCCAUGCCGCGUGAAGGAUUAAGGUCCUCUGGAUUGUAAACUUCUUUUAUUUGGGACGAAAAAGGGCCUUUCUAGGUCAACUGACGGUACCAGAUGAAUAAGCACCGGCUAACUCCGUGCCAGCCGCCGCAGUAAUAC
rnacentral:rRNA from 1 species